rnacentral:tRNA from 4 species
AAAAUCCGUCGACUUUCUAAGUCGUGAGGGUUCAAGUC